UUGGUCCCGAGACUCCCCCAGGGACGGGCGGAAGAACAGAGAGUUAGCCUCUGCCCUGAUGCGUCCCCGCAGGCGGGAGCAGGCUUCGCCUCCCGAGAGUCGCUUAGAACUAGGGCAGUCCGCACCCAGAGGGAGACUUCUCCCGCUGCCUGACCCCGCCUGUCAUCCCCAGUGACCCUCCUGGACGGACGAAUUAAGUUUCUCCCAGAAUAGACUUUUAUGGGCAUUUUCUUUUUUUUUUUUUUUCUUUUUUAAUCUUUCUUGCCAUUCCGAAAAUAUAAAGCACCUACCGCUGCCAGGCGCUGUGCUGUGACAGUCUAAAUCCCAUGCGUAGGCAAGGUCUUUGCUCAAAACUUAAGUGCCAGUAGAGCCUUAUCUGCUUCUUUUAAAGUGAUCCUCUUGUGUGUUGCUAUAAUAUUCACGACAAGCAUUUAUUAUUUAGGCCGCCUCUCCCUGCUGUCCUUGAUUUUAAAGAAAAAUAACUGCUAAAGUUAAUUGAAAUUUUACCUUGUGUCAGUCUUGGUAUUAAGCAUAUAAAAUGGAUCGUCUUACUAAUCCUGAGAACAGCCCUUUGAGGUUAAUCUGGAGCAGAGAAUGAAGGCAGCCAAAGAAGAGUUGCUGAACCGGUUAGGAGACUACAGCAGCCAUCCCAGCAAGAGAUGAUAGCGUGGAUUCGCAGAUACAGAAAAGUGGACAGGUUUCAGAGGGACACCUGGCAGAAUCUAGCAGAAUGUGAACUUUUAUAAAAGAAAAGCUGCUCCGUGGCAAUGUCUGCUUUCCUGGUACAAAAUAACUCCGAGGCAAGAAAAUACCAAGAGUUCUUAGCAAGAGAAUGAGAGAGAGAGAGAGCCAUCACAAGCA